rnacentral:rRNA from 1 species
CGUAGGGUAACCUGCCCAAGAGAUCGGGAUAACACCUGGAAACAGAUGCUAAUACCGGAUAACAACAGAUGAUGCCUAUCAACUGUUUAAAAGAUGGUUCUGCUAUCACUCUUGGAUGGACCUGCGGUGCAUUAGCUAGUUGGUAGGGUAACGGCCUACCAAGGCGAUGAUGCAUAGCCGAGUUGAGAGACUGAUCGGCCACAUUGGGACUGAGACACGGCCCAAACUCCUACGGGAGGCAGCAGGG